GCUGCCCUGUGCUAUUGAUUGCUACCGCUCUUGGGUCUGGAAGUCCUGAGUGCAAUCACACAGGCUCCGCGGGUCUGGAAAACCCGAACGGGCUCUCAUUCGGCCUUGAUUGGGGGCACUGCACUGGUCAGAUCGCUACGCAAAUUGAGCCCCCCUCCCACCCGCACUGCUUUGUGUUCCUGCUGGGCUCUGGCUGCGCCCUCCCAAGCCCAAGCCCGGGCACUCGGUAGUGCCCUUCCUCCAACCUGGGCUGUUGUGGAGCAGAAGGUGUGCUCCUUCAAUGUCCUGCCGCCUUGGGGAGGCCCCCCGAGAUUUACAAAGCAAAAUUAAACUGCGGGCAAGUUUCUGGUUUCCCAUCUACACCGGCUGUCUCUUCUACUAAACACCGACUGAACGUCCAGGCUCAGCCUCUCCUCAGGGCAUGGACAGUGGCUAUGAUGAUUCUCUGCCAGGAGAGUGCCUCAGAAAGCCAGACUGGAAGCAGCUCAAGCUCUAUGGAGUGGGGGACCCCGUGGCCAUGUUCUCCUCUGAUAGCUCCUGCCUGUCCUCUAGAGGAAGAGUCAGCAAAUGGUUCUGGGACUCAGCUGAGGAGGGCUACAGAACCUACCAUAUGGACGAGUAUGAUGAAGACAAGAACCCCAGUGGCAUCAUUAACUUGGGCACCAGUGAGAACAAACUCUGCUUUGACCUUCUGUCCAGGCGGCUGACACAGAACGACAUGCUUCAUGUGGAGCCCUCGCUGCUGCAGUACCCGGACUGGAGAGGACAUCUGUUCCUGCGGGAAGAAGUGGCAAAGUUCUUGUCUUUCUACUGUAAGAGCCCAGCACCCCUCAAACCAGAGAAUGUGGUGGUUCUGAAUGGCUGUGCCUCACUCUUUUCCGCUCUGGCCACAGUGCUCUGUGAGGCAGGAGAGGCUCUCUUGAUCCCCACCCCUUACUAUGGAGCCAUUACCCAGCAUGUCUAUCUCUAUGGCAACGUCCGACUGGCCUAUGUCUACCUGGAGAGUGAGGUAACUGGAUUGAACACACGUCCGUUCCAGCUCACAGUGGAGAAGCUGGAGUUGGCCCUUCAAGGAGUUAAUUCUGAGGGUGUCAAGGUCAAAGGCCUCAUCCUCAUCAAUCCCCAGAACCCUCUGGGUGAUAUCUACUCCCCUGAAGAGCUACAGGAGUUCCUGGAAUUUGCCAUGAGGCACCAGCUUCAUGUGAUCAUGGAUGAGGUUUACAUGUUGUCCAUGUUUGAAGAGUCUCUUGGGUACCGGAGUGUCCUGAGCCUGGAAAGGCUGCCUGACCCCCAGAGGACACACAUGAUGUGGGCCACCAGCAAGGACUUUGGGAUGUCUGGACUCCGCUUUGGCAUCCUGUACACAGAAAAUCAGCAUGUGGCUACUGCUGUGGCCUCCCUCUGUCGCUAUCAUGGCCUCAGUGGCCUGGUCCAACACCAGAUGGCACAGCUGCUCCGGGACCAUGGUGAUUUGUCUGGAUCUUACAGGAGGAGCGGGGUUGUAAUGUGUGUGGGACUUGGGGCUCACGGGUGCCUCUGCUGUGGAGGAGCUGAGGUGAUGUCUUGCAGUGUUAUCUCUGGGACCUCAGUCACUUGUUGGCUGUCUGUGUAGCACAUUUCCUCACCCUCAUCUGGAGAACAGGGCUGGUAAUGGUGCUAGUCUUGUUGGCCGAGUGUGGCCUGUAAUUUGGUUAGAACAAUACGUGACAUAAAACAGGCCCUUGACUAAUGUGAACUCACUGACCAGGUGCAGUGCUAUGUGUCUGUUCUUCUAGCUACUUGGGAGGGUGAAGGAGGAGGAUCCUUCCAGUUCAGGAGUUCCAGGCUGGCCUGGGCAACAUAGCAAGAUUUCCCCCUUCAAAAACGAACUUUAGUUACCGUUGAACACAGAGAUCAGAAGUUCCUGAGGAAAUGCCAGUACAACGGAGAGCUCUCUGCCUCUGAGAUUUGGAUCGUUCCCACCUUCAGCAAUGAGUUCAGAUAGCAGAGCUCUCCUGUCACUGUUGGUCUUCACUGAGUCUUUCAGAUGUUCUUUUGGUCCAUCUCAUUUCCCUCCCUAGGCCUUAGGGAGAAUUCCUACAGUUCUCCUUUGUCUUGCAGGUGUGGACAAGGAGGAUCAGCUACUAAUUACCAAUCUAAUAGUCUAAAAAGUUUUAGAAACAGUGGCAAUACCUACUGAAUGUUGAUAAAGGUGGUGGAAUAGCCAGGACACUUGCUCUUACAUUGAUGGUGGGGACAGGAAGUGGCUCAGCCACAAUGAAAAACAAUUUGGCAAUUUCCUCUAAACACACCUAUCAAAUAACAUCAAAUAACCCAGUAGCGACAGGCCCAAGUGAGGAACCGUGGUGGUCACACAAAAACCUCUGCAUGAAUGCUGCUAGCUGGUUUUUUUUUUUUCAUAAUCACCCACAUUUGCAAACCGCUCCACAGAGGAGUUUAUCCACAGAUGUGUCCCGUCCACACUGUGGAAUACUUCUGCCAAUAACGUCCAUGGCAGUGUGGAUUUCUCCCAAAGACACUGUGCUAUUAAGAGAAGCUUAGAGUCAAGACUUUACAUAUCCUCUGAGGCUGGUUUUGGUGACGUUUGGGAAUGCACAAGACUGUCAUGUGUAUGACAUAUCAGUCAUUGGGAUAGUCUUUGGGGGUUAUUUAAAUCCUGAUUGUGGUAAUGCUUUCAUAAGUGUAUGGAUGUGUCAUAAUCUAUAGAGUCUUUUCUCAUCUUGACAGAUGCCCCACUGGGAUAGGGAUUUUGUCUGUGUGGAUCUAAGUAUCACUUUAUACCUGCAGACACCUUUGGCUUGGUUCACAUCCUGGGGGACUUUGUACCCUGGGCUGCUGAAUGUGGUCUGGGAGCUGGCACUCUCAGGGCUGUAUACCUGGAUCAAAGGCACUUUGUCCUGAGCACUGAACUCCCAGCCGCUCUGAACCCAUGACUCAACUGGAUCAGCCAGGUGUACCUGCCAGAAAACCACGCCCGGCUCAAGGCUGCCCAUACCUAUGUCUCAGAGGAGCUCAGAGCCCUGGGGAUACCCUUCGUGAGUCGUGGGGCAGGCU